UCCCUGGUGGUCUAGUGGUUAGGACUUGGUACUUUAACCUCUGUGGUCUGGGUUCAAUACCUGGUCUGGGAA
rnacentral:tRNA from 1 species